rnacentral:siRNA from 1 species
UUGAAGGUCGCGAUUCUUCCC